rnacentral:rRNA from 1 species
GCCUAGCCGUAAUAUACAAUUAAACCACCAAUUGUCCGCCAAACAACUACGAGCUAAUGCUUAAAACUUAAAAGCAUUGACGGUGCUUCACCACGCCCUAGAGGAGCCUGUCUAGUAACCGAUAAUCCACGAUUAACCCAGCCCCCCCUAGCCUAACAGUCUAUAUACCGCCGUCGCCAGCUUACCUUGUAAAAGAAAUAAAGUGAGCUAAACAGUACCACACUUAAACGACAGGUCGAGGUGUAACUAAUGAGGGGGACUAAGAUGGGCUACAUUCUCUUGACCGAGAAUACGAACAAUACUAUGAAAUUGGUAUUCAAAGGCGGAUUUAGCAGUAAGAUAAGAAUAAAACACUUAACUGAACAUAACGCAAUGAAGUGCGUACACACCGCCCGUCACCCCUGCCACCACAACCCUUUUUUAAUUAAACCAACCAAAAACAUAAACCAGGGCAAGUCGUAACAUGGUAAGUGUACUGGAAAGUGCACUU